UACAGAGGUCUCAAGCGUUGUUCGGAUUCAUUGGGCGUAAAGGGUGUGUAGGUGGCGCCGUAAGUCGGGUGUGAAAUUUCGGAGCUUAACUCCGAAACUGCAUUCGAUACUGCGGUGCUUGAGGACUGGAGAGGAGACUGGAAUUCAUGGUGUAGCAGUGAAAUGCGUAGAGAUCAUGGAGGAAGACCAGUGGCGAAGGCGGGUCUCUGGGCCGAUACUGACGCUGGAGGAGCGAAAGCGUGGGGAGCGAACAGG
rnacentral:rRNA from 1 species